GACGAACGCUGGCGGCGUGCCUAAUACAUGCAAGUCGAGCGGACUUGACGGAGCUUGCUCUGUUCAAGUCAGCGGCGGACGGGUGAGUAGCACGUGGGUAACCUGCCUGUAAGACUGGGAUAACUCCGGGAAAUCGGGGCUAAUACCGGAUAACAUCAAGAGCUGCAUGGCUUUUGAUUGAAAGACGGCUUCGGCUGUCACUUACAGAUGGACCCGCGGCGCAUUAGCUAGUUGGUGGGGUAACGGCUCACCAAGGCAACGAUGCGUAGCCGACCUGAGAGGGUGAUCGGCCACACUGGGACUGAGACACGGCCCAGACUCCUACGGGAGGCAGCAGUAGGGAAUCUUCCGCAAUGGACGAAAGUCUGACGGAGCAACGCCGCGUGAGUGAAGAAGGUUUUCGGAUCGUAAAACUCUGUUGUCAGGGAAGAACAAGUACGGUAGUAACUGCCCGUACCUUGACGGUACCUGGCCAGAAAGCCACGGCUAACUACGUGCCAGCCGCCGCGGUAAGAC
rnacentral:rRNA from 1 species